GGGGUGGAGAGAGAGAGAGAGAGAUCUAGAUUGAGAUCCAUAUGUAGAUCGAGAUCAUUUUAGGCCAACGGAUUUGGAGUCCUUAGUUGAUUGACAAAAUCAUUUGAGGCCUUCCCACUUUAGAUUGAUUUGAAGAAAUUAUCUGACUAUUUAUUAAUGAGGAUCAUUAACAUGUAGAAACUUACUACAAAAGAAGUUUAGAGUGAUGAAGUAGCUGCUGAGAUUCUCAAAGUCCUCCGAUUUGGAUAAUUUUGAGUUAGAUUUAUGAGUCAUUUGUAAUAAUUGCUUCGUUAAAAAGCAUUGAAGGCCAUUAGACCAAGCUACCAUAAUACAAAAAUAGAGGUACCUGUGGCUGUAGACUGUCAUGUUAGGCCGAAUGUAGUUUGAGAAGUAUUUGUAGAAUAAUGAAAUUGCAAAUAUUAUGAUCAAAUACUUUUGGCGAA